UGACAAGAUACCGCCCUAACGAUUGAGUCGGUGUCCAUAAAGCGACACGGUGGGCUGUCUAGCGGCCUAUUUUCUUUGCAUUGGUGGACACAUGUGAUUAUUGUAAACAUAUUUUUAAUAUUCGAUGACUGUAUUUGACGUCAAAUGUCUGUAUUAAAUGGAGAGAUAUGCUACUGCCGCCUUCAAAACAACUGGGAACUCGUAAAUCUCUGACUUCCGUGCGUUCAAAGAACUAGCAACCUGGGGAAAAAACUAGCUCCGACUGGGAAACGGUCAUCUAACUCUGAAUUCGAACUCGGGCCGCUUUCUUUUAUUUUAUUAUUAUUUAUUAACAACAAAUCAAUACAUAAAGUACGAGGGAACACAAGCAUACAUAGAUUACAAACAAUGGACAAUCGAGCUAGGGGAUACAAUAUCACAUUACAAUUACACAAGGACCUUAAGGGACACACAUAUACUUACAAUUCUAACAGCUUUUUUGUUAGUAGAGCAUUUAAAGCGCAAUUAAUGUGUUUUAUCUCCAGUACUUUGCCAUGAUUGUCAGUUAUGUAGCUGCUCUACUGAUAAUCUCAGUGCCUCCUUGCUGGGAUGACACAAUAAAUCUACUGCAGGAGAAUAUCAACACCAAACACAUUGGUUCACCGUUCCACGGGAGCGGACAGUACACAGCAUACCAUAAUGGAGUGGAAAGCAGUGGAUGGCCUCGUCCACUGAUCGUCGCCACUGUGGAAGUGGCCCUAGGACCAUGCCCCAGGACUACCUGACAUGAUGACUCCUUGCUGUCCCCAGUCCACCUGGCCGUGCUGCUGCUCCAGUUUCAACUGUUCUGCCUUAUUAUAAUUCGACCAUGCUGGUCAUUUAUGAACAUUUGAACAUCUUGGCCAUGUUCUGUUAUAAUCUCCACCCGGCCCAGCCAGAAGAGGACUGGCCACCCCACAUAGCCUGGUUCCUCUCUAGGUUUCUUCCUAGGUUUUGGCCUUUCUAGGGAGUUUUUCCUAGCCACCGUGCUUCUACACCUGCAUUGCUUGCUGUUUGGGGUUUUAGGCUGGGUUUCUGUACAGCACUUUGAGAUAUCAGCUGAUGUACGAAGGGCUAUAUAAAUAAAUUUGAUUUGGUCUGCCAUGAGGUGACUGUAUAGUUCCCUUAAGGAAAAGCACCUUUAGUAAAUCCGCUUUCUCUGAGAGCUUCCCAUGUCUGGAAUACAUUGCCAGACGACACACAUAAGUGCAUCACAUAUCACACUUUCACAAAAUGCAUGAAGACAUGGCUAAAGGUCAAUCAGAUUUGUGAACAUAAUCCCUAGCUGUGUAUUGCCGCUUUCCAUGUUGUCUGUAGCUUGUGAGGUGUGGAAACACUGUUGCUUUUAUGAAUUUUGUCUUGCUGCUUUUUGUUCUAUGUUGCUCUGUCUGUAUGCUACGUCUUGCUUGUCCUAUGUUGCUCUGUCUGUAUGCUAUGUCUUGCUUGUCCUUUGUUGCUCUGUGUGUGCUCACUGCUCAAUGAUUGUCUAUAUUGUCAUUGUUUUUAAUAACCUGCCCAGGGACUGAGGUUGAAAAUUAGCCGGCUGGCUAAAACUGUCACUUUUACUGAAACGUUGAUUAAUGUGCACUCUCCCUGUAAAAAUAAAACAAACUGAAAGAACAGGGAGGUUUUCAAACACCUCCCAAAGAAGGGCACCUAUUGGUAGAUGGGUAGACAUUUUUUUCAAAAGCAGAGAUUGAAUAUCCCUUGAGCAUGGUGAAGUUAAUAAUUAAAGUUUGGAUUGUGUAUUAAUACACCCAGUCACUACAAAGAUACAGGCGUCCUUUCUAACUCAAUUGCCGGAGAGCAAGGAAACCGCUCAGGGAUUUGCAACAAAGCACUAAAAUAGAACUGCAAACCAUGUGGCAAAGCAAUUCACUUUUUGUCCUGAAUACAAAGCGUUAUGUUUGGGGCAAAUCCAAUACAUUACUGAGUACCACUCUCCAUAUUUUCAAGCAUAGCAGUGGCUGCAUCAUGUUAUUGGUAUGCUUGUAGUCAUUAAAAACUGGGGAGUUUUUCAGGAUGAAAAAAUAAACAGAAUGGAGCUAGGCACAAGCAAAAUCCUGGAGGAAAAUCUGGUUCAGUCAGCUUUCCACCAGACACUGGGAGAUGAAUUCACCUUUCAGCAGAACAAUAACCUAAAACACAAGGCCAAGAAGACACUGGCUGAGUGGCUGAGUUACAGUUUUGACUGAAAUCUACUUUAAAAUCUAUGGCAACACCUGAAAAUGGUUGUCUAGCAAUGGUCAACAACUCAUUUGACAGAGCUUGAAAGAUUUUGAAAAUAAUAAAUUGGCUAAUUUUGCACAAUCCAGGCGUGGAAACCUCUUAGACUUACCAAGAAAGACUCACAGCUGUAAUCGCUGCCAAAGGUGAUUCUAAACUCAGGGGGUUGAAUAUGUAUCUAACCAAGAUAUAUUAGUGUUUUCUUUCUCAAAGUUUUUACCAAUAUUAGAAUUGUUCUUCCACUGACAGAGUAUUUUGUGUAGAUUGUUGACAAAAAAAAAUGACAAAUCCAUUUUAAUUCCACUUUGUAACACAAUAAAAU
ensembl:lncRNA